GUUGGAAGUUUGGUGUUUCCUACCAGAUACCGUCCUAGUUCUAAGCAUAAACGAUGCCAGCUAGCAAUUGGGUGUAGCAACUAUUAUGGCUCUCUCAGUCUUUUCCCGAGCAACCAAAGCUUUUGGUC
rnacentral:rRNA from 1 species